AUGCCUGGGCAUAUGGCACUUUGCAUGUCAUCAUUGAGUUUUCCCACCCCAGACGCUGCAGACUGGCCUGCAAAGGGGAAAGUGGAGUGUGUGUGUUUCCUGCUCGCCAGUCAUCUACAAGGCAACAGCCAAGACUUCCACUCACCUGCAGACCCACACAGCCCACCUCACUGCUCCACACAGAACCGCAAAGGGAACUUUGCCAGAACAAAUGCCACUCCAGCAGCUUUGCGAUUUGGGGUGAAUCGGGUCCUGGGACACUUCAGUAAAGGGUGGGAACACCAGAGUGAGACGCUGUGGUCACCCCAACCCAGAGACCACCCACUCCUCUCCCUUCCAAUCCCUUUCUCCCUUCUGGCUCAUCCUGUGUUCCCUCCUGAUCUUUGCCUUCCUCGGAUCUUUUCGCCAGCCUCACACCUUUGUUUCUUGUCCUACAAUGACAGCUGCGUCAUUGAGUCUUUUGUAACCACUGAAAGUUCCAAAUUAUAAGUAUCAGAGUGAUGCUUCUUAGCACCUCGAAGGGAAAACUUUAACUAGCUAUUCAGGUCCAUCACGGGCCUCAUCAGUGUUUUUCUCCCGAGCAGUAGAGGACACAAGUGUUUCCAUUCGCUCACGUCGUGAGAAAUCAUCUCAGUGGAGCAGAGUCUCGGCAGAACGAAGGGAACCCAGCCCCCCGCUUCGGACUCCCAACGGCUCAUCUCCCCUUCUUCCACGGAGCAGCCUGGCCGGGCGGCCCUGGGUCAGGGACCUGGGUCUCCUCAGACGCCGGAAUAUGCUACCCGAGCUCCUCUUUCGGUCUGAGCUUGGGACCAAGGCACAGGAUUCCAUGAGUGAAGGUUCGAAUCUUGACUGAACAGCGGCUUUGCAUGUCCAACGGAGACUUAAGAGUGAGAAACUCUGAAUAAAAUCAUAAUAAACUGAGACA
rnacentral:lncRNA from 1 species